CAAAAACAUGGCUCCUUGAAUUUUAAUAAUAGGGAGUCGGACCUGCCCAGUGAAAUUUUUAACGGCCGCGGUACUCUGACCGUGCAAAGGUAGCAUAAUCAUUUGCCUUAUAAUUGAAGGCUAGUAUGAAUGGUUUGACAAGAAUGAAGCUGUCUCUUUAUAAUUUAAUAGAAUUUUAUUUUUAGGUGAAGAAGCCUAAAUAAAAUUAAAAGACAAGAAGACCCUAUCGAGCUUAAAAAAAGUUAAUAGAACUAACUAAUUAAUAUUUAUAAAAAAUUAUCUAAUAAACAUUUUAGUUGGGGCGACUGAGGAACAUAAAAAGCUUCCUUUAUAAAGUUAAUUGAAAUCAAACUAGAACUGAUCCAAAAUAUUUUGAUUAAAGAAAUUAGUUACCGUAGGGAUAACAGCAUUAUCUUUUUUAAGAGCUCAUAUCGAAAAAAAGGUUUGUGACCUCGAUGUUGGACCAGAAUAUCCUAAAGGUGCAGCAGUCUUUAAGGGUUGGUCUGUUCGACCAUUAAAAUUCUACGUGA
rnacentral:rRNA from 1 species